UACGUAGGGGGCAGCGUUGUCCGGAUUUAUUGGGCGUAAGCGCACGCAGCGGUCUCUUAAGUUUUGAGUGACAGGUGGGUGGCUACAACCUACCACAGGCCUUGGAAAACUGGGAGACUUGAGGACUUCAGAGGGAUGCGGAAUUCCGAGGAUGGAGGCGGUGAAAUGCGUAGAGAUCUGGAAGAACACCAAAGGCGAAGGCAGCAUUCUGGGAA
rnacentral:rRNA from 1 species